rnacentral:tRNA from 1 species
GGGUCGUUAGCUCAGUUGGUAGAGCAGUUGACUCUUAAUCAAUUGGUCGGCGGUUCGACCCCGCCACGACCCA